rnacentral:rRNA from 1 species
UACGUAGGUGGCAAGCGUUGUCCGGAAUUAUUGGGCGUAAAGCGCGCGCAGGCGGUCUUUUAAGUCUGAUGUGAAAGCCCACGGCUCAACCGUGGAGGGUCAUUGGAAACUGGGAGACUUGAGUGCAGAAGAGAAGAGUGGAAUUCCACGUGUAGCGGUGAAAUGCGUAGAGAUGUGGAGGAACACCAGUGGCGAAGGCGGCUCUUUGGUCUGUAACUGACGCUGAGGCGCGAAAGCGUGGGGAGCAAACAGG